rnacentral:lncRNA from 1 species
CUUUUCCAGCUGCAUAACCAAAGAAUGAAGCUUCAUCAACUCUACUUCCGGCUGCUGUUGAUGAAGUGUGAGUCCCAUGACCUUCUGUGUCGCGUGUGGAGUUUAAUCCUAAGGUGAUGUUUGGAUAUUUUGCUAAUAUUCCUUUGUUGAAGAAUUUAGCACCAAUUAAUUUUUUGUUGCAAAGUGAUGAAUUGAAAUGAAUGCUAUUUUCACAUUUUCCUUUCCAUUUUGAAGGAAUGUUAGCAAUUCCAUUAUCUUUGAAGCUUUCACUUUCUGGCCAAACACCUGUGUCAAUCAAACCAACAAUCACAUCUUUACCAAAAUUCGAAUCAUGCCAAGCUCCUACGUUUGGAUUGAGACCAAGGAAUUGAGGUGAGUGUGUUGUGUCAAGCUUCAAGUGUAAAUCAGGUAUGGAAGAAAUGUAACCAGGAGAGUUUUUGAGAGAUUCAUGUUCUUUUGGUGACAAAUUAGCACUGAAACCAUUCAUGGCAUGCGUGUAGGUGUAAAUUAACUUAGAUGAAAUUGGAGAGUUGAGAUUAUCGGAUGUUGCAAGUUGAGGUUUCUCUAAUGCAGAGGAAAGAGUUGAUUGAUACCAUGUGUGAUGAGUUGAGAAUGCUUUAGGCAUGGCUGAUAUGUUCAUGUGUAUGAUAUAGUUAUCAGAUUGAGCUAGUGAAGGAAAUGAAGUGAUGAAAAUGAAGUGGAGGAAUAUUGCAAUAUAGUAGAACAACAUGGAUUGAGAAAUAUGGGAAGUCAUGGUUGGAAGGUGUUCUUGAAUAAUGAGAACCGGUGUGUGUUUAUAUAGAGAAACUAUAAAAUUAAACUAACAUGGAUGCAUAGGUAAGUUGGUAGCUAACUAGACUUUUAAGUUUAUAGUCAACACUCAAAAAUACAUUUCACUAAUAGGGUGAGAAUAAAUUAGACAGAGCUAAAUUUUUUAAAGCUUAAGUAUGACGUGGUUUAUAAAAGAAGCUAAUUAGGCGUCUNNNNNNNNNNNNNNNNNNNNNNNNNNNNNNNNNNNNNNNNNNNNNNNNNNNNNNNNNNNNNNNNNNNNNNNNNNNNNNNNNNNNNNNNNNNNNNNNNNNNNNNNNNNNNNNNNNNNNNNNNNNNNNNNNNNNNNNNNNNNNNNNNNNNNNNNNNNNNNNNNNNNNNNNNNNNNNNNNUACGGGGCACAAUUCAACACUAAUAUCAUUCUUAUGUCCGCAAUUGAAUUGAAUACGGAUAAUGAGAGGAUUCACCAAACAUUCAACAUAUGACAUUGGAUAUACAUUUAACAACAUAUCUGUGUUUCCUUAGUAAUUACUAAUUACACCAAGAAAUGAAUCUACUAGUGUGAGGUUGUUAGCCUCUAUCUUGCCACUAAACUUGACCACCAUUUGUUUCAAAACCAAAUAAAAGGUAGCAUACAUGUAGGAAAGAUUUCGACAAUCACGUACAACAUUAACAUUCAACAGAAAAGCAUGGUACACUCACAUGAAAGAAACCAUAACCCAUGUUGUCACCAACCCAUGUUGUCACCAACCCAUGUUGACUAAACUUUUUAAAAUAUUUUUAUUUUUUUCCCUAUUUUUAUGCAUAGAUUUAUAACUUUUUCCCCAAAAUAAUACAAUCAUACACCAGCCCAAACUUCAUAGAUUUGACCACACAAUAAUAUAUUAUAUCUAUAUAUUAUAUUAUAUAUAAUUUUACACACGAAUAUAUAAUUAAUUAAUACUGAUCACACUCACACAAGCCAUGGCCACAACCAGUACCACUAAUUUUGUGGGAGGACAAUACACAUGGUAAAGAGGACAAUAAAUAAGGAAACUUCAAACAUAGGUCACCCAAAAUAAUACAAUCAUACAUCGGCCCAAACUUCAUAGAUUUCUCCAAUUUGACACCUCUUUCUGCACCCUCAAUUGAAAAAUGCCACAACAAAGAGAUCAACUAAAAUAAAUGCCACGUACUUGUGAUUUUUUUUUUCUUUAAGAUUUGUUUUGUAUGGAAUGAGUUGAUUCUAAAUCACUCAAAUAGACAGAUACUUGAGCUCCUUAACUAUUUGAUCUUAGGUUCGAUCGAUGGUCAGUGUCUAGUUCAAAUUAUAAUUUUUCUUAGAACUGCAAUGGAACCUCAUGGGUAAGGAUAAGGUAAUGGAAUUGAUAGAUAAAUUCAUAUACCUAGGUAGGAUGGGAGAGUGGAUAAAGGGAAUAGAGAUGACCCUGGAUUAGGGGUGUAAUUUCUUUUUUUGAAUAAAAAUAUUUUAGUUCAUUAUUGUACGUGCGCGAGCGUGUGCGUAUGUGCGUGUAUGUGUCUAAUAAGUUCUUUAUGUUGUUAACUAAACCGAGAGAAAUAAACUCAAAUUCUUUCAAAUGAUUUGUAGAUCUCAUUAAACAAUUUGGUUUAAUUAAUUGGUUUGAAUACUAAAUUUUAACAUAAUCAUUUUUGUUUCUUUCAAUUAAAUCUUCUAUCUAAACUACGAAAUUUCUAAUUUUUUCCUUUUUUAUCCAAUCAAAUAAUUGCAGAAAAACGUAUAAUUUUUUUUAUCAUUUUGAUAAAUUAUAAAUUCUAAUAGUUUUUUUUCACUAAUAGUUUUGAGUAAUUAAUUUUUGAAAUUGUAUUGUUGUGUACAAAUUAAAGAAUGCCAAAAGUUUUAUACUUUACUUUAGAUAAAAAAAAAAAAAAACAGACAAUUACAUGUUUAUUUGAUCAAAGGGUUGUUGUGCUCAGGACCCUUUGUUUUACUCUUAGAAAGGGGCUCCACCUUUGUUAUACUACUGAAGUUAAGCUGAACUGUUUUGUAUUGAGUGUGGCAUGUCUUAUGCCUUAGAGAAACUCUUACUUGGGCACAAGUCCAACACUUGUCAUGAAAAAAAAAUAAAAAAUUAUUCGAACAUUUUAAAAUGCAAAAUCAUUUAUAAUCAUAAUGUUCUCCAACAUAUAUCCUUCUCAAUUAAUGAAAAAGUAUAGUGAGUGUCAAAAGUAACUCUCUUGAGGUGUCGAAUUUUCAACACCCCUAGUAAGGGUCGUCGGUCGGUCCCCUAUAAGACAUCUCACUUAAGAUUAAUUUUCAACAUCCCUAUUAGUGUUACCUGCACAUUAAGAUCAAUUUUUCCAUUCCAAUCAUUGCCUGAGAAAUCUGAAACAAAAAAACAGCACAAAGCCAGAAAAACACCAAAUCUAAUCUCUGGUAAAUUGACAAUCCAAACUAUAGGAUCAGACUGCUAUAAUAGACUACUAAUCAAUUUUACUGCCUUCCAUAUAGUAAACUCAAAUCAAUAAUAUGGACACAUUCAGUCCCUACAAAACUACAUGAAUUUGGACCACACCUUAUAAGAUAAUAGAUAUGUCAAGAAAAGUUGCAUGGUUGCACAUCUCAGGACCAUUAAAAAUUAUCACUGUUAAAAAAUUAUAAAUAUCAUAAACAUAAUAAUGAAUCCUACAAAAUAAUUUUAGUUAAGUGAGAAAUGAAUAUUAUUUAUCAUAACUUAAUUUGCAUUCAUCGAUUGACUCAUGAUAAUAACCUCUCCAACAUCAUUCUUCACUACAAUUACAUUACAUAGAUAGUGGUGACCACAAUUGGACUCCUAACAACAUGCUUUACAUCCAUCCAAGUUAGAGAUCCAAUAUUCACAUAUUUUGUCAUAUUUGAAACUUCAAUCCUCAACUUGUAACUUAACUUCUCAUUCUUCUCUUUGAACACCAAUUUGUUUGGAAUAACACUGACAUGGAACCCUUCAAUUGGAGUAAUGCUAGCAACAUAAGUUGUUUGUCCCUCACCAACAUUGGUCACUGUUCUGUGAAAUUCUUGUAUUGUACUUGAAGAAGAAUUUCUUCCAUCGAAGAAAGCAAUAAAAGAAGGGUAGUUGAGAUCCAAUGAAGGUUUAGAGCAAUCAUUGGAAGAAGAUCUUGUAAUGGUAGUGAUGUUUUGUUGUGAGUAAUCAAGUGCACAAAGAAGAUUAACAUAAUCUUUUACACCAACAUCAUAAACAAGACCAGGAUCAAGUGCUCUAUUAGGAUUAAUAUGACCAGCUCCUAAUGCAAAAGGUGUUGCUAUGUAACCUGUAUCAAUUUCUUUGAUUUGUUCGUUAGUAUUAUCAAAUAUGUCUGAUGUUGUCAUUAUGGCCGAACGAAUAGCCGCAGGACUCCAGUCAUGGUGUGCACCUUUUAUAAGCGCUGCUACGCCUGCAACAUGAGGACAUGACAUAGAUGUUCCACUUUCUAUAUUGAAUUUACUGAAAAAUUUAUGAGCAUUCAAUUGCAACACAGGAACAUUUGUAGGCCAUGCUGCUAAGAUCGAAGUACCGGGCGCAGUAAUGUCAGGUUUCAACACAAAUGGACAACUAAAUGAUGGGCCUCUUGAACUAUAAGAAUCAACAGUAGGUGCUGGUUUAACAUCAAAACCUGUUUUCAUGAAAGACAUGCUUGCCGAUGAAGUAGAAUUGUAAUACCUCUUGAUGUAAGCUUUGACAAUUUCACCAUUUAUUGGAUCAACAAUGAUGGUAGCAAAACUAUUCCGUGAAUAGUAUGUGUCCGAGACAUUCGAAAUCAAAACAGCUCCAAAAACGUUUGCUGCAUCCAAAUUAUUGACUUGAUCAGCAAUACUAGUUCCAUUCUUGUCUUCACACACCACAAACUUUCUCUUCAAUAUUUCCAAUUCCGUAACAUUGUCACACAAACCCAUGAAAACAAUAGGAACAUUAUCCGUAGAGAAUGUUCCUAUAUAACGAGACGAUCCUGUGAUUUUCUUACCAUUUCCAAGUGUAAGAGUCCCAUGAAAAUCUCUAUCUGUAGUACCAGCAGCCACAGUUAUAACCCAAGGUGUUCCAUUGUGUAAUGUUGUAAUGUCUGGUCCAUUAUUUCCAGCUGAAGUGGAAACAAAAACACCUUUUUCCAUAGCUGCAAAUGUUGCUAUUGCAACAGGAUCUUCAUACAAAGGUAUUUCAUUCAGACCGAAUGAUAUUGAAAGAACAUCAACACCGUCUGAUAUUCCAGCGUCAAUUGCAGCUAUUACAUCAGACGAUUGCACUCCGCCUUCCCAUAGAGCUUUAUACAUUGCUAUACGCGAAUUCGAAGCUAUACCGGAAGCUGUUCCAAUUGCAUAACCAAAGAAUGAUGUUUGUUCAACUCUGCUUCCAGCUGCUGUUGACGACGUGUGAGUCCCAUGACCUAUUGUAUCGCGUGUGGAAUUUAAUCCUAAGGUGAUGUUUGGAUAUUUAGCUAAUAUACCUUUGUUGAAAAAUUUUGCACCAAUGAGUUUCUGGUUGCAAAGUGAUGAAUUGAAAUGAAUGCUAUUUUCACAUUGUCCUUUCCAUUUUGAAGGAAUGUUAGUGAUUCCAUUAUCCUUGAAGCUUUCGCUUUCUGGCCAAACACCUGUGUCAACCAAACCAAUGAUGACAUCUUGACCAAAAUUUGAAUCAUGCCAAGCACCUUUAUUUGGAUUGAGACCAAGAAAUUGAGGUGAGUGUGUUGUGUCAAGCUUCAAAGGUAAAUCGGGUAUUGAAGAAAUGUAACCAAGGGAGUUUUUGAGAGAUUCAUAUUCUUUUGGUGACAAAUUAGCACUGAAACCAUUCAUGGCAUGUGUGUAGGUGUAAAUUAACUUAGAUGAAAU